GUUGCGCCGGUCACUUGACGCAGAAGUAUAAACCAGGCUUCACUCAGCAAUACCUAAAUGUGUUACCAGGAGACAGGGAUUGAUUUUGUUUUGCUUGUAUAUGUUUUAGACUUCUAAAAUGCUGAUAGACAUGGCAAGAUCACAAUUCACACUUAAACUCUUCAUGAGUGUUCUACAGACAAAAACUUCACCUCCAUCUUCGCUGGCACUGAGGUUACGCUGAUGGUUGGAUAUUGAACAGUGGCCUCUACUGUACAGACCUGUUUCCACAUUCCUCAAGGACCCCUCUGUUGCGGUGCCAGAGGGGGAGGCGUCCACAACACUGCCUGAUGGGAAAUGGUCCAGGCCUUCCUGCGCUGAGCUGCAGAUAACAACUUACUGUUCAGAGAGCUCAGCCUGAGGUCUUCAGAGAUACUGAGCUGCUGGACGAGAGCCAGAUGCUCAGUUAAAGCCACUCCAGCUUGACGGAGGGUUUCAGCCUGGAUGACUUGCUGGAAAGAUGCGUUGCUCUACCGAUCCCAAACCAUGCAAGCUAGUGGCGACAGCGGAGAGGGAAAAAAAAAACUUCACCAAUUGGCGAGAGUAAAGAUGAAAAACCUUAAGAGAAACCAGACUCAGUUGGGCAUGACCAUUUUAAUUUCUUCGCUGGCCAAACAUCUUGUGCAGAGCUGCAGUCUCAGCGGCGGAGGCAGGAAGCUGAACCUCAGCGAAGACUCUCCCUGGAGCGUCACAGGAAUCAGUCUCAUGCUCUCCACUCCUCCAUGACCACCACAGCAGCUCCUCAG